rnacentral:rRNA from 1 species
UACGUAGGUGCAAGCGUUGUCCGGAAUUAUUGGGCGUAAAGAGCUCGUAGGCGGUCUGUCGCGUCUGCUGUGAAAACCCGAGGCUCAACCUCGGGCCUGCAGUGGGUACGGGCAGACUAGAGUGCGGCAGGGGAGAACGGAAUUCCCGGUGUAGCGGUGAAAUGCGCAGAUAUCGGGAGGAACACCGGUGGCGAAGGCGGUC